rnacentral:tRNA from 1 species
GCACCGGUAGCUCAGCUGGAUAGAGCAACCGAUUUCUAAUCGGUAGGUCAUAGGUUCGAUUCCUAUCCAGUGCGCCA